GGAAGCGUGCCCGAACAUUAAAGGGCUACUUUGAUAGAGUACAUCACAGGGGUGUAAAUCCCCUCACUUCCC
rnacentral:tRNA from 1 species